rnacentral:rRNA from 1 species
AUUGAACGCUGGCGGCAUGCCUUACACAUGCAAGUCGAACGGCAGCACGGGAGCAAUCCUGGUGGCGAGUGGCGAACGGGUGAGUAAAGUAUCGGAACGUGCCCAGUCGUGGGGGAUAACGUAGCGAAAGUUACGCUAAUACCGCAUACGAUCUAUGGAUGAAAGCGGGGGAUCGCAAGACCUCGCGCGAUUGGAGCGGCCGAUAUCAGAUUAGGUAGUUGGUGGGGUAAAGGCUCACCAAGCCGACGAUCAGUAGCUGGUCUGAGAGGACGACCAGCCACACUGGGACUUAGACACGGCCCAGACUCCUACGGGAGGCAGCAGUGGGGAAUUUUGGACAAUGGGCGAAAGCCUGAUCCAGCCAUGCCGCGUGCAGGAUGAAGGCCUUCGGGUUGUAAACUGCUUUUGUACGGAACGAAAAGGUUUGGCCUAAUAAGCUGAGCUCAUGACGGUACCGUAAGAAUAAGCACCGGCUAACUACGUGCCAGCCGCCGCCGUAAUAC